rnacentral:rRNA from 1 species
GAUGAACGCUGGCGGCGUGCCUAAUACAUGCAAGUCGAGCGAAGCGGGGACGGGUGAGUAACACGUGGAUAACCUCCUAUAAGACUGGGAUAACUUCGGGAAACCGGAGCUAAACCGGAUGCUUAUAGAUGGAUCCGCGCUGCAUUAGCUAGUUGGUAAGGUAACGGCUUACCAAGGCAACGAUGCAUGGCCGAUCGGAGCGGGGGAGAGGCCAAACGGGAACUGAGACACGGUCCAGACUCCUAGGGGAGGCAGCAGUAGGGAAUCUUCCGCAAGGGGGGAAAGCCUGACGGAGCAACGCCGCGUGAGGGAGGAAGGUCUUCGGAUCGUAAAACUCUGUUAUGAGGGAAGCGGUACCGAAUCAGAAAGCCACGGCUAACUACGUGCCAGCAGCCGCGGUAAUA